GAUGAAGAACGUAGCGAAAUGCGAUAAGUAAUGUGAAUUGCAGAAUUCAGUGAAUCAUCGAAUCUUUGAACGCACAUUGCGCCCCUUGGUAUUCCGAGGGGCAUGCCUGUUCGAGCGUCAUUAUAACCCUCAAGCUCAGCUUGGUGUUGGGGCCUGCUGCACUGGCAGCCCUUAAAAUCAGUGGCGGCGCCAUCUGGCUCUAAGCGUAGUAAUUCUUCUCGCUAUGGAGUCCUGGUGGAUGCUUGCCAUCAACCCCCAAUUUUUCUAUGGUUGACCUCGGAUCAGGUAAGGAUACCCGCUGAACUUAAGCAUAUCAAUAAGCGGAGGA
rnacentral:misc_RNA from 1 species